rnacentral:rRNA from 1 species
GGUGGAGCGAUUUGUCUGGUUUAUUCCGAUAACGAGCGAGACUCUAGCCUAUUAAAUAGUAUAUCUGAUAAAUGUGUCUGCAAUACUUCUUAGAGGGACAAGCGGUGCUUAGCCGCACGAAACUGAGCAAUAACAGGUCUGUGUUGCCCUUAGAUGUCCGGGGCUGCACGCGCGCUACACUGAAUGAAUCAGCGUGCAUUUUUCCAUGCCCGGAAGGACUUGGUAAACAGUUGAAAAUCAUUCGUGAUUGGGAUAGGGAAUUGCAAUUAUUUCCCUUGAACGAGGAAUUCCCAGUAAGUGUGAGUCAUCAGCUCACGUUGAUUACGUCCCUGCCCUUUGUAC